rnacentral:lncRNA from 10 species
GAGUCUCCCCGGGCUCGGCAGGGCGGCGGCGACGGCGGUGGCUGCGGAGCUGCAGUUAGCGCUGCGCGCGUGAGGUGGCGGGGCGGCAGCCGCGCAUCCCGGCCCUGUGGCGUGUUGGGCGUGGGGGAGCGUCCUUACACGUUCCAGGGUGGCUUUUCCCCCACGUCCUCGCUCGGUUUCUGGAAAGGGGGAGGAAACGCUGCAGCUUCUACAGUACUUUUGCUUAAGACAAAGCCAGGGAUCAGGAAUCUCAAAAGAGCGGGGGGCAGAAGGUUUGAGCCGACCCCACCCCGGCUCUCCAUCGGAGCCCCGAGCGGCGCCGUUUCCUGAUGCUGGCUGUGCGUAGAGGCGGCCUUCCUGGGGGGAGGGGAGAACAAUGCUUCCUGAAAAGCCAAAAGUCGUGGAAUUUGGGGGCGGGGCUCGGGCCAAUUAAAGUGUAUUCGUGGAAAAUAAAUCGCAAGAUAGUGGCAGUGACGAACUGCACACUGCAGCGCGAAAGCAGGAAACUGGCAUUACGUCAGAAGACAGAAGAGACCCAAAUUGCAACGGUUGCAUCUGCAGGGCUGGCUGGCUGGCUUCCUCUCCUAAACCUAAACCUUUCCCUCUC